rnacentral:rRNA from 1 species
GACGAACGCUGGCGGCGUGCUUAACACAUGCAAGUCGAACGAAGAGCGAUGGAAGCUUGCUUCUAUCAAUCUUAGUGGCGAACGGGUGAGUAACGCGUAAUCAACCUGCCCUUCAGAGGGGGACAACAGUUGGAAACGACUGCUAAUACCGCAUACGAUCUAAUCUCGGCAUCGAGGAUAGAUGAAAGGUGGCCUCUACAUGUAAGCUAUCACUGAAGGAGGGGAUUGCGUCUGAUUAGCUAGUUGGAGGGGUAACGGCCCACCAAGGCGAUGAUCAGUAGCCGGUCUGAGAGGAUGAACGGCCACAUUGGGACUGAGACACGGCCCAGACUCCUACGGGAGGCAGCAGUGGGGAAUCUUCCGCAAUGGACGAAAGCCUGACGGAGCAACGCCGCGUGAGUGAUGACGGCCUUCGGGUUGUAAAGCUCUGUUAAUCGGGACGAAAGGCCUUCUUGCGAAUAGUGAGAAGGAUUGACGGUACCGGAAUAGAAAGCCACGGCUAACUACGUG